AUGUCAACCUCUUCCUCCUCUCUCAUGGCUUCCGUGCCGGCGGCUACCACCGUCGUCACCGUGCGUCUCUCUCGCGACAACCAUCUCAUGUGGAAGGCACAGUUCCUCGCAUUCCUGCGCACCUACAAUCUCCUUGGCAUCGCAUCUGGCAGAGAGAUGGCGCCUGCUUCGACCGUGGACCAGACCACGGGCACAGGCGAUGCGCGCACCACCACUCAGGUGGAGAAUCCGGAGUACACCAUCUGGUACCGUAAGGACCAGACGAUCCUCGGCGGCAUCCUCGCUACCGUCUCCGAGGACAUCUUGCCAUACGUCAUGGCUGCCACCUCUGCGGCUGAGGCCUGGGGGCAGCUGGAGCGGAUGUUUGCAUCGCGCUCUCGUUCUCGCCUCGUUCAGAUACGCGCACAACUGGCUACUCCGAAAAGGCGCGACAUGACGGGCACGGACUACUUCAAGAUGAAGAAGACCUUGGCUGACACACUUGCAUCCAUCGGGCAGCCUCUUCAUGCUGAUGAGAUCGUUUCUUACCUGUUGUCAGGCCUUGGGGCGGAGUACGAGUCCCUCGUGGACUCACUGAACGUGAAGACUGAUUUGACUCUUGAUGAUGUCUAUGCUGCUCUUCUUGGCCAUGAGCAUCGUCAUGAGCAGUACAGCUCCGACUUCCAGCUUGGUUCGAGCUCCUUGGCUAGCUAUGUCGGUACGGGCUCCAACCACUCCGCCAACUUCUCCGGCAAACAUUCAGGACGCAUCAAUCAAGGCGAACAAGGUCGUGGCAAUUAUGGUGGCGGUCGAGGCCGCGGCCGCGGAAAUGGUGAAAAUGGUCGUAGCAGAGGCCGUGGUUACGGUGGCAACAAUGGAAAUGGUGGGGGACAGCGGCCCACGUGUCAGCUGUGUGGCAUAAAAGGACAUGUUGCCUUGAAGUGCCGCAAGCGCUUCGACAGCUCCUUCCAUGGCGAUGAGGAGCAGCACUCGGCGAAUAUCAUUGGCACUAGCGCCGGGUACCAGGUUGAUCCUAACUGGUACUCGGACACGGGCGCUACAGACCAUAUCACUAGCGACUUGGACCGCCUCUCCUUCCGCGAGCACUACAACGGCCACGAAAACGUCCAAGUCGGCAACAGAGCAGGACCAAGCAUCGAAGACAAGUCUGCUCCAAGGCAGAUGUAG
rnacentral:rRNA from 1 species